rnacentral:rRNA from 1 species
UACGUAGGGUGCGAGCGUUGUCCGGAAUUAUUGGGCGUAAAGGGCUCGUAGGCGGUCUGUCACGUCGGGAGUGAAAACACGGGGCUUAACCCCGUGCCUGCUUCCGAUACGGGCAGACUAGAGGUAUGCAGGGGAGAACGAAUUCCUGGUGUAGCGGUGAAAUGCGCAGAUAUCAGGAGGAACACCGGUGGCGAAGGCGGUUCUCUGGGCAUUACCUGACGCUGAGGAGCGAAAGUGUGGGGAGCGAACAGG